AAAAAAAAAAAAUAGCAUAAACGGGUGAUCAUUGUGUCCGUGGUAGCGCAUGUAUGCAUAUAUAUAUAUAUAUAUAUAUAUAUAUAUGUUUGUACAAAUUUUCGCACGUAUUUAUGGGUUCCCCUUCUAGUGUUUUCUUUUUUUUUUUUUUUUUGUUGUUGUCUUUUCUUUGUAGCUAUUUGUUCAACAUUUGUGAGUGGCAAUUACAAAAACAAAAUUUCUCUUUUUUAAACGAUCUACUACAAAAGUUCAAACCACUUCGAAAUUUAUGUAUCCUAUACUGUUUGGAAAAUAUAAAAAACUUAAACACGAAACGAAAAUACUUGAGCGAAUUGAAAGCUUGUAAAAAAAAUAUAUAUUUGUAUAACUAUAUAAGCGAUGUUAAAGUAAAAGUAAAGUUAGCUUGUUUAUUUUAUUAUUUUUAUAAAAAGCACGAGCAUGCGUCAACACCGACAACAACUGCAACAACAGUAGCGGAGGCAACAUUGAUAAAAAAAAAAAAAAAUAAAAAUAAAAUCACAAAACAAAAUAUAUACAACAAAUUAAAACAUAUAUCUAUUGCUUACUUUUUAAACGAAUAUAACCUGAUACAAUUUGUUGAUUAUACAUUUUUAAUCAAUUUAAAAAGUAAAAUAAAAAAUUUUGCGUUAAGAAGCGAAGUGUGUAUAAAUACAAAUGUUGUAAUCUUAUAUGUAAUGAUUAAAGAUGUGUACAAUUAUUUGAACGGGACUAGCAAUACUCUAAAAAUUAAUCAUUACUACAAACUAAUAUCAUACGGAGAAUACAGAAUAAAAGCGUUAUUAUACAUAUUUGUGUUACUAUUUCAAUUUAUAAAAUAUAAAAAAAUUAUAGCUAACAAGUUUAUUUAUUUGAUUCGAUUUUUAUAUUCAAAAUUGAAUAAAAUAAAAUAUGACAAGUUUUAUUUUUUUAUAAAAUUAAAAUAUAUUUUAUUUAAAAUUGUUAAAGACAUAUACACUCGAUUGUUUACUUUUUUUUUAACAUAUAUGACGAGUACGACUGAUAGUCAAAAAAAUAAUACUUACCAUUUUAUUAGUAACAUUUUUAAUCAUAACAAACAAAUAAAGUCGUGCUUUGUAUGUUAUAGAUGUUUGGUAUUUAAAAAAAAUUUCAAAGGAAAUGAAAAAAUUGUGAGUAAGUCAGUAAACACGGUGAGUCGAUUAUCUAUAGGGGUUGGCGAAAUUAUAGAAGAUGUGCCACAUGAGAAAUCGAGACCGAGCAAGAUGAUAAAUGUAAACAAAAGAACAAACUCAAGUGAAAAAACAAAUACAAACAUAAACAUAAACAUAAACACAACACACGGAAAGAAUGAAAUAACUGGUUGUUCCAUUCCUUUGUCGUCAACUUACCCACUCCAAAAAAAAAAGCAUUUAUUAAUUAACACCUUAACAAAUACAUAUGAUAGUAAUAGAUAUUCGAAAAAAACGAAAUUAAAGAUUCUUUUAUUUUUAUUAAAGUUUGAAAAAUUAUACCAUUGGGGAAAUAGUACUAGGCAAUUAGCUUAUAAAAAAAAAAAAAAAUGAAAAAAUUAAAAAAAUGGUAUAUAAAAAAAAAAAAUAAAAAUUUAGAUAAACAUUUUUAUGAAUUAAUG
ensembl:lncRNA